rnacentral:rRNA from 1 species
GACGAACGCUGGCGGCGUGCUUAACACAUGCAAGUCGAACGGAAAGGCCCUGCUUGCAGGGUACUCGAGUGGCGAACGGGUGAGUAACACGUGGGUGAUCUGCCCUGCACUUCGGGAUAAGCCUGGGAAACUGGGUCUAAUACCGGAUAGGGGCCAUUUUUAGUGUGAUGGUUGGAAAGUUUUUUGGGUGUAGGAUGAGCUGGCGGCCUAUCAGCUUGUUGGUGGGGUAAUGGGCUACCAAGGCGGCGACGGGUGGCCGGCCUGAGAGGGUGGACGGCCACAUUGGGACUGAGGAACGGCCCAGACUCCCACGGGAGGCAGCAGUGGGGAAUAUUGCACAAUGGGCGCAAGCCUGAUGCAGCGACGCCGCGUGGGGGAUGACGGCCUUCGGGUUGUAAACUCCUUUCGCUAGGGACGAAGCUUUUUGUGACGGUACCUAGAUAAGAAGCACCGGCUAACUACGUG